rnacentral:lncRNA from 10 species
CUGGGUUCCAAAAGAAGAAUGCAUCUCCCAGGAGACAUGACAAUGAUUCCAUUCAACAGGAAGUUGAGACUGCCACCUGAACACUUUGGGCUCCUCAUGCCUCUGAAUCAACGGGCAAAGAAGAGAGUUAUAGAUCCUAACCACCCAGGAGAAAUUCGGUGGCCACUACACAAACAGAAUGUAUUAAUAGUAAUUAAAUUUA